ACGAACGCUGGCGGCAGGCCUAACACAUGCAAGUCGAGCGCUGUAGCAAUACAGAGCGGCGCACGGGUGAGUAACACGUGGGAACGUGCCCUUUGGUUCGGAAUAACUCAGGGAAACUUGAGCUAAUACCGGAUGAGCCCUAACGGGGAAAGAUUUAUCGCCGAAGGAGCGGCCCGCGUUGGAUUAGCUAGUUGGUGGGGUAAAAGCCUACCAAGGCAACGAUCCAUAGCUGGUUUGAGAGAACGACCAGCCACACUGGGACUGAGACACGGCCCAGACUCCUACGGGAGGCAGCAGUGGGGAAUCUUGGACAAUGGGGGAAACCCUGAUCCAGCCAUGCCGCGUGAGUGAUGAAGGCCCUAGGGUUGUAAAACUCUUUCGGCGGGGACGAUAAUGACGGUACCCGCAGAAGAAGCUCCGGCUAACUUCGU
rnacentral:rRNA from 1 species